rnacentral:rRNA from 1 species
UACGUAGGGUGCGAGCGUUGUCCGGAAUUACUGGGCGUAAAGAGCUCGUAGGUGGUUUGUCGCGUUGUUCGUGAAAACUCACAGCUCAACUGUGGGCGUGCGGGCGAUACGGGCAGACUUGAGUACUGCAGGGGAGACUGGAAUUCCUGGUGUAGCAGUGAAGUGCGUAGAUAUCAGGAGGAACACCGAUGGCGAAGGCAGGUCUCUGGGCUGACACUGACGCUCAUGCACGAAAGCGUGGGGAGCAAACAGG